rnacentral:rRNA from 1 species
GUUGUCCCGGUUUAAGCGUGUAGGUGUGUGUUCCAGGUAAAUCCGGUUCACUUUAACACUGAGGCGUGACGACGAGGCACUACGGUGCUGAAGCAACAAAUGCCCUGCUUCCAGGAAAAGCCUCUAAGCAUCAGGUAACAUCAAAUCGUACCCCAAACCGACACAGGUGGUCAGGUAGAGAAUACCAAGGCGCUUGAGAGAACUCGGGUGAAGGAACUAGGCAAAAUGGUGCCGUAACUUCGGGAGAAGGCACGCUGACACGUAGGUGAAGUGAUUUACUCAUGGAGCUGAAGUCAGUCGAAGAUACCAGCUGGCUGCAACUGUUUAUUAAAAACACAGCACUGUGCAAACACGAAAGUGGACGUAUACGGUGUGACGCCUGCCCGGUGCCGGAAGGUUAAUUGAUGGGGUCAGCGCAAGCGAAGCUCCUGAUCGAAGCCCCGGUAAACGGCGGCCGUAACUAUAACGGUCCUAAGGUAGCGAAAUUCCUUGUCGGGUAAGUUCCGACCUGCACGAAUGGCGUAAUGAUGGCCAGGCUGUCUCCACCCGAGACUCAGUGAAAUUGAACUCGCUGUGAAGAUGCAGUGUACCCGCGGCAAGACGGAAAGACCCCGUGAACCUUUACUAUAGCUUGACACUGAACAUUGAGCCUUGAUGUGUAGGAUAGGUGGGAGGCUUUGAAGUGUGGACGCCAGUCUGCAUGGAGCCGACCUUGAAAUACCACCCUUUAAUGUUUGAUGUUCUAACGUGGACCCGUAAUCCGGGUUGCGGACAGUGUCUGGUGGGUAGUUUGACUGGGGCGGUCUCCUCCUAAAGAGUAACGGAGGAGCACGAAGGUUGGCUAAUCCUGGUCGGACAUCAGGAGGUUAGUGCAAUGGCAUAAGCCAGCUUGACUGCGAGCGUGACGGCGCGAGCAGGUGCGAAAGCAGGUCAUAGUGAUCCGGUGGUUCUGAAUGGAAGGGCCAUCGCUCAACGGAUAAAAGGUACUCCGGGGAUAACAGGCUGAUACCGCCCAAGAGUUCAUAUCGACGGCGGUGUUUGGCACCUCGAUGUCGGCUCAUCACAUCCUGGGGCUGAAGUAGGUCCCAAGGGUAUGGCUGUUCGCCAUUUAAAGUGGUACGCGAGCUGGGUUUAGAACGUCGUGAGACAGUUCGGUCCCUAUCUGCCGUGGGCGCUGGAGAACUGAGGGGGGCUGCUCCUAGUACGAGAGGACCGGAGUGGACGCAUCACUGGUGUUCGGGUUGUCAUGCCAAUGGCACUGCCCGGUAGCUAAAUGCGGAAGAGAUAAGUGCUGAAAGCAUCUAAGCACGAAACUUGCCCCGAGAUGAGUUCUCCCUGAGACUUAGAGUCUCCUGAAGGAACGUUGAAGACGACGACGUUGAUAGGCCGGGUGUGUAAGCGCAGCGAUGCGUUGAGCUAACCGGUACUAAUGAACCGUGAGGCUUAACCUUAC